CCAUUGAUGAACAUAAGCAGAAAGACAGUGGAAAGAGUAUCACGCUUGAGAUUCUCACGGAGGACAUCCCAAGCUGGAAUACUUCAUUCACUGUUAAUGCAGCACGACUGGACACAGUGAACGAUAUCAUCAAAAAGUUACGACCAUUGCUGGGAAUACCUAAUGCUGAGGAAGAUUAUCAACUGUGGUUCUCUUCUAUGGAGGAAGAAUCACCAGGCCCACUCCUGGGACAUGAGAAUCCAUAUGCCAUCAGAAUGAGUGAUCUUCGAAAUUCUACCUAUGUGGCAGUGGGGCCAAGGGAUUACACUGAUUAUCUUGACAUCAACAAGGCAAUCAAGGAGCUGCAGUCCCCACAUAAUCCAGGAGUAUUUAUCCUGAAGCCCAAGGACCCACCCAAGGACC